UUGAUUUUAGUGAUGGCCAAACAAUACCAACAUGGUCAAGCAACUUAGCAACGUGUAUUAAUCUACGAUUGAGUUCAAAUAAAUUAAUUAAUAUCAAUGAUGUUAGUGAGAUACUUUGCUUAGAAACUGAUGCAUUGGCGGACUCAGAUUGGCUUAGGGAUGGCAAUUUGACCCUCAUGGCUUGAAACCCGCGGUGCACCUCACCUAACGGGAUGGUGUUUACCCAAAAAAUCAGGGAUGCGGGGAAGGCUCGGGCUAGUAGACUAAAACCCGGAUCGGGGCUAGGCCGGACCGUUGAAUAAUGAACUCGGCCCGAUAAAUAUAUAUUUAUUAUUUUUUUAUAUAAUUUAAUUUAUAUAAAGUAAAAAAAACCCUUGAGAAAAACAACAUUUCAUUUUCUUCUUGCUGCCGUCUUCAGUCUUCACAGUUCACCUUCACCUUCAAAGCUUCACCUCACAAGCUCACAGUCACACUCACAGCUACUACCACUAGAUCCACUGAUCUAGACCAUUCACCAACUCUCAUCACCUUUCUUCUUCACCAGCUUCAGCUACAGAGCUACUGCCGCUUGGCGCCCAGAUCUAGAUCAUUCACCAAGGUAGAACUAUCCUAUCUCAGUCACUCUUUGCUCAAGCUGCAAGUGAAAAAGAAUACAAGUCAUACACUUAUAAAUGCUGGACCUUGACAGAGUCAAACAGGAAAAAACAGAGAAAAAUAGCUAUGCUUAUGAUCAACUGUACCAAUAAUAUCAUCGAAGAAGCAACCACAUCUAAAAGUUAGACAUUAUGUAACUCAUUCAUUGCAUAUCAAUCUUUUAGUAAACUAUCUUACUUAUAAACAAGAAUUCUUCAGUCUAACAACUCAAUUAAUUUACGACAUUGAAAAUAAAGGGGUGGAAUCAAAAAGGCAAGUGCAAGCACUUGCAUGAUGCAAAAAGGAUAACUAGCUUGCUAUGAUCAGUAGUACGGAACUUUAUCUGAGCAGGUCCAUGUAAAAAUAUUUUUAGGUAGAGAUUGAGAGAUUAGUGUUAAUCAUGAUUCAUGUAAAUGGGAGUCUAUUAUUGUGAAAAAAGCUCUGGUUGGUUGAUCAAAAGAGUUUGAUGGAUGCUUGCUGAUUAUAUAUAUAUAUAUAUAUAUUUAGUUGAUACUAGAAGUCAAAGCUUUUUGUAUUUACUUCACAUGU